rnacentral:snoRNA from 1 species
GGGAUGUGAUGAGUGGUGAAUGCUCGCAGUUGGUGCGAGAAGGGUGCCCGCCCUGCCUGGUUACGACAUUUUGGGUACUCCAAUGUUUUACCAUCUGAUCCC